CAAGUCGAGUGCGCGCCUGUAGCAAUACAGGUGGCGCACGGCGCACGGGUGCGUAACACGUGGGUAAUCUGCCCUUCGAUGGGGAAUAACUCGCCGAAAGGCGAGCUAAUUCCGCAUAACAUUCCGAGAACCUUGGUUUUUGGAUUCAAAGGCGUAAGUCGUCGGAGGAGGAGCCCGCGCACGAUUAGCUAGUUGGUGAGGUAAUGGCUCACCAAGGCUAUGAUCGUUAGCUGGUCUGAGAGGAUGGCCAGCCACACUGGAACUGAGACACGGUCCAGACUCCUACGGGAGGCAGCAGUGGGGAAUCUUGCACAAUGGGCGAAAGCCUGAUGCAGCGACGCCGCGUGGGGGAUGAAGCUUUUCGGAGUGUAAACCCCUUUCGACCCGGACGAAUGCCUCGCAAGAGGACUGACGGUACGGGUAUAAGAAGCCCCGGCUAACUACGUGCCAGCAGCCGCGGUAAGACGUAGGGGGCCAGCGUUGCUCGGAAUUACUGGGUGUAAAGGGUUCGUAGGCGGUGUGGCAAGUCGGGAGUGAAAUCUCUGGGCUCAACCCAGAGUCUGCUUCCGAAACUGCUGUGCUUGAGUGUGGGAGAGGCGCGUGGAAUUGCAGGUGUAGCGGUGAAAUGCGUAGAUAUCUGCAGGAACACCCGUGGCGAAAGCGGCGCGCUGGACCACUACUGACGCUGAGGAACGAAAGCUAGGGGAGCAAACAGGAUUAGAUACCCUGGUAGUCCUAGCCCUAAACGAUCAGGACUUGGGGUGCCGCCCGUUCGGGCGUCGUCCCGGAGCUAACGCGUUAAGUCCUGCACCUGGGGAGUACGGUCGCAAGACUGAAACUCAAAGGAAUUGACGGGGGCCC
rnacentral:rRNA from 1 species